GCCUUCGUGGUGUAAUGGUCGAGCACUUUCGAUGGUAACCGAAAGAUUCGAGACUCGAUUCCCGGCAAAGGCG
rnacentral:tRNA from 1 species